rnacentral:rRNA from 1 species
CACGUAGGGCGCAAGCGUUGUCCGGAAUUAUUGGGCGUAAAGAGCUUGUAGGCGGUUUGUCGCGUCUGCUGUGAAAAUCCGGGGCUCAACCCGGACUUGCAGUGGGUACGGGCAGACUAGAGUGUGGUAGGGGAGACUGGAAUUCCUGGUGUAGCGGUGAAAUGCGCAGAUAUCAGGAGGAACACCGAUGGCGAAGGCAGGUCUCUGGGCCACUACUGACGCUGAGAAGCGAAAGCAUGGGGAGCGAACAGG